rnacentral:rRNA from 1 species
AAAUUGAAGAGUUUGAUCAUGGCUCAGAUUGAACGCUGGCGGCAGGCCUAACACAUGCAAGUCGAACGGUAGCACAGAGAGCUUGCUCUCGGGUGACGAGUGGCGGACGGGUGAGUAAUGUCUGGGAAACUGCCUGAUGGAGGGGGAUAACUACUGGAAACGGUAGCUAAUACCGCAUAACGUCGCAAGACCAAAGAGGGGGACCUUCGGGCCUCUUGCCAUCAGAUGUGCCCAGAUGGGAUUAGCUAGUAGGUGGGGUAACGGCUCACCUAGGCGACGAUCCCUAGCUGGUCUGAGAGGAUGACCAACCACACUGGAGCUGAGACACGGUCCAGACACGAACGGGAGGCAGCAGUGGAGAAUAUUGCACAAUGGGCGCAAGCCUGAUGCAGCCAUGCCGCGUGUAUGAAGAAGGCCUUCGGGUUGUAAAGUACUUUCAGCGGGGAGGAAGGUG